rnacentral:rRNA from 1 species
CAGCGAAGUGGUUGAUGCCAUGCUUCCAGGAAAAGUCUCUAAGCUUCAGUUACACAGGAAUCGUACCCGAAACCGACACAGGUGGUCAGGUCGAGUAGACCAAGGCGCUUGAGAGAACUCUGCUGAAGGAACUAGGCAAAAUGGUACCGUAACUUCGGGAGAAGGUACGCUGUUGUUGGUGAUGGAACUCGCUUCCUGAGCUGACGACAGCCGCAGAAACCAGGCCGCUGCAACUGUUUAUUAAAAACAUAGCACUCUGCAAACACGAAAGUGGACGUAUAGGGUGUGAUGCCUGCCCGGUGCUGGAAGGUUAAUUGAUGGGGUUAGCGUAAGCGAAGCUCUUGAUCGAAGCCCCAGUAAACGGCGGCCGUAACUAUAACGGUCCUAAGGUAGCGAAAUUCCUUGUCGGGUAAGUUCCGACCUGCACGAAUGGCAUAAUGAUGGCGGCGCUGUCUCCAGCAGAGGCUCAGUGAAAUCGAAAUCGCUGUGAAGAUGCAGUGUACCCGCGGCUAGACGGAAAGACCCCGUGAACCUUUACUGCAGCUUGACACUGAACUUUGACCUUACUUGUGUAGGAUAGGUGGGAGGCUUUGAAGCUGGAACGCUAGUUCCAGUGGAGCCGUCCUUGAAAUACCACCCUGGUAAUGUUGAGGUUCUAACUCUGUCCCGUGAUCCGGGACGAGGACCGUGUCUGGUGGGUAGUUUGACUGGGGCGGUCUCCUCCUAAAGAGUAACGGAGGAGUACGAAGGUGCGCUCAGCGUGGUCGGAAAUCACGCGUAGAGUAUAAAGGCAAAAGCGCGCUUAACUGCGAGACCCACAAGUCGAGCAGGUACGAAAGUAGGUCUUAGUGAUCCGGUGGUUCUGUAUGGAAGGGCCAUCGCUCAACGGAUAAAAGGUACUCUGGGGAUAACAGGCUGAUACCGCCCAAGAGUUCAUAUCGACGGCGGUGUUUGGCACCUCGAUGUCGGCUCAUCUCAUCCUGGGGCUGAAGCAGGUCCCAAGGGUAUGGCUGUUCGCCAUUUAAAGAGGUACGCGAGCUGGGUUUAGAACGUCGUGAGACAGUUCGGUCCCUAUCUACCGUGGGCGCUGGAAAUUUGAGAGGAUCUGCUCCUAGUACGAGAGGACCAGAGUGGACGAACCUCUGGUGUACCGGUUGUGACGCCAGUCGCAUCGCCGGGUAGCUAUGUUCGGAAGGGAUAACCGCUGAAAGCAUCUAAGCGGGAAGCCUACCUCAAGAUAAGAUUUCCCUAGGACUUUAUGUCCUCUAAAGAGCCGUUCGAGACUAGGACGUUGAUAGGUUGGAUGUGGAAGCAUAGUGAUAUGUGAAGCUGACCAAUACUAAUUGCUCGUGAGGCUUGACUAU